UCCGAGGGGGGCAAGCGUUGUUCGGAAUUACUGGGCGUAAAGGGCUCGUAGGUGGCCAACUAAGUCAGACGUGAAAUCCCUCGGCUUAACCGGGGAACUGCGUCUGAUACUGGAUGGCUUGAGUUUGGGAGAGGGAUGCGGAAUUCCAGGUGUAGCGGUGAAAUGCGUAGAUAUCUGGAGGAACACCGGUGGCGAAGGCGGCAUCCUGGACCAACACUGACACUGAGGAGCGAAAGCCAGGGGAGCAAACGGG
rnacentral:rRNA from 1 species